GAGUUUGAUUCUGGCUCAGGACAAACGCUGGCGGCAUGCCUAACACAUGCAAGUCGAACGGACAAGUUAGUAGAAAUUUUUCGGAAUGGAAACUAAUGCGUUAGUGGCGGAUGGGUGAGUAACGCGUGGAUAACCUGCCUCUAAAUGGGGAAUAACUACGAGAAAUCGUAGCUAAUACCGCAUAAUAUCUCUUUAUUGCAUGAUAGAGAGAAGAAAGACGGCCUUAGCGCUGUCGUUUAGAGAUGGAUCCGCGUCUGAUUAGCUAGUUGGUGAGGUAAGGGCUCACCAAGGCGACGAUCAGUAGCCGGCCUGAGAGGGUGAACGGCCACAUUGGGACUGAGACACGGCCCAAACUCCUACGGGAGGCAGCAGUGGGGAAUCUUCCGCAAUGGGCGCAAGCCUGACGGAGCAAUGCCGCGUGAGUGAAGAAGGCCUUCGGGUUGUAAAACUCUGUCCUUAUCGAAGAGAGAGAAGAGUAGUAACUGACUUUUCUAGGACG
rnacentral:rRNA from 1 species